rnacentral:lncRNA from 1 species
GAGUUCUACGACGAUUAGUGGUUUCAGCCGCUCUUACUGCUAGGUUUCGAUCUUGAUAGGAUUUAGGAUUAGACGAAGCCAUUUAUAUUGGAGGAGGAUGAACGGAAGUUGGAAUGAAACCAACCAGAAGGUAUAAAAAGCAUCAUUGAUUAAUAGGGGGUUACAGAGAUGGAAGAUAGAGCGAUUACAGAGAAUGGAGAAGUUGAAGAUGAAUUGGAAUUGGAAUUGGAAUUGUCGGGCUCGACUUGCCACGAUAAAUUUUUUGGAAACCACACCGAAGCCCAUUUUAUCUAGACAACUCUGUUCUGACGUGGCAAAAAAAAAAUGUUUUUAUUGGUUGAUUUUUUGAUCCCACGUGGCAUGCUUCUCCAAGGCUUAUAUUGUGCUUUUAGUAUUGUAUUACACUUGCAACAAAACAACUCUCAUGGAAAAUAAGAAACCAAGAAUAUUGAUACAGUUGCAAGUUUUAAAAAAUAACCAAAAUACCGUUUAUGUAACGAUUUUUUCACGAUUUCUGCAUUUUUAUAUAUUAUUUUAAAUAACCAUUUAAUAUAUAUUAUUCUAUUUUAAAAUUCAGAUUUGAAUAUAUCCAAAUUUGAAAACGAUUUCAAAUAUUUUUUAGAUCUCGUUUUAUAUCACUCGAAUAUUUCUCUAUAGCAUAACUUUUUAUGCGUUAAAUGUUGAUAUACAUUUUAGAAAAUAUUGUUGAGAAUAGAAAAAUAAUACUAUCUUAAAUGUUUACAGAUAGCUGGUAUUUAUGUAUUCUGAUUCAAAAAAUUUAACUGUUUAAAUUUCGGUUCAGUUUAUUACGAUUAUUGAACGGUUCAGUUUCUUAUGAUUGUUGAUUUGUUCAUGUGUUGCAGAGAUGGGGAUAACGAUCUUGGAGGGGGAGCUGACGACAAAUGCUUCAAAUCUUGCCAAUAACCAGUCUUCAAAAUAAAAUGAACUAAACCGGUAUUAUGAUCUACGAAAAACAUGACAAAUGCCAUAACUCAAAUUAACAUGUUUAGAUAAUAAAUAUGGUAUGACCGGUUACUAAAUGUAUAACUGUUAGCAAUUUCACCGGUUUAAUAAAAUAAACACGAGAAUCAAAUAAUCUUAAGCAUUGUUCAAUAGUUUUCAAAGGAAAUAUUAAUGUUAUUUCUUUCUUUUUUUUUCAACUAUAAAAUGUUAUAUCUUUUGUACUUCAAAUUUUAAUAAGAUGGAUAAAUAUAUGUCCGGAAUUGCAUUUCCACAUUAUCACCUACUAAAAUAAGUCGCUGAAUUUCCCUUUUGGUUCAGUACAAAACUUUGGAAUAAAUAAACUGUUUCCUUUAGGUUUGAAUCAAAUUUGGUUUGGUUUUGUUGAGUUUUUGUCUGUUGUGGGAUCGGUUGGUUUGGUUUGGUUUUUAUUUAAACUUCACAACGCUAGGAGGUGAGCAAGUUCUAUUUGUUUUUUUUUUGUUUUGCUAAACAAAUAAUUCUUACAAUAAUGAGAACUUCAAUUAUUGCACGUAAACUAUACCAUCGUGUUUGAAUCAUUGUUAUCUCCUUGCAAAGAUUGAUAACGCAAUCACUUCCUAAAAUAAAGGAAAAAAAAGACAUCAGAAAACCAAUCAAACCGAAGCCACUCAUAACACAAACUUUACGAAAACCGAAGCCAAUUUUGUUUUAACCAAGAGGAAUGGCUAAACGACCUCAACACUAUCCUUCAAGAGACCGAUACGGCUCUUCAUUAUCUCCUUCUCUUGCUCAUCACCUCGCAGCAUCCUCUCAACUCUUCCACCACCUCCAAAAUCCACCAUUUCAGCUAUGAUCUCUGUCUGAAAGCGACUGUUGACCAGAUAAUUCACAGAGAGGUGAAGAUGCAUUGAGAUGCUGUCAACAAUUCUCUGCAAGACGAUAGGCCAGUAGGCUGCAAUCCUCAUCUUCAUUCCAAACGUCUUUUGCAGUAAAUGAGCGUGAUACUUGCGUAUAUGCAUCAUAACAAACAAAGCAGCAAUUUAAUAAUUCUAGUUGACCUAGUAAACAGUAGUAAUAAGCAAACUACCAGUUUCAAGUCGUCUAGAGACCUAUCCAGAUAGUUAGUCAUAGAUACCAAAGGAGAGAAAAACCUGAUACAAUUCUGGACUUGUGAGCUUCAGAGAAGUAGACCAAAAUUAAGUAUGUAAUCCCAUGUCUUCAUGAGAAGAGAAAAAUUACAUGUGAUUGAUAGGCAAAGCAAAAAAAUAUUAACUUGACAACACACGAUAUAUAAAAUAGAGCCAAUAAGAGAAACUUACUUGCAAGGGUCAGCUCACGAGUGUAUUCUCAAACAAUGGAGGAAAACUUCUGAAUUUAGGAAAAAGAACCUGAAAGAACAUAGCAAAGUGAGCAGCACACAUCAGAACAUUUCAAUCUAAACCAGUUCUGACAGGUUCUACACACAAUAACAAUCAAAAAGUAAUAGAUCUUCAUUACAAUGAUAACCUAAAUGAUCUCGGUCUCAUAUAAUCAAACUCUGGCGAGACUGACCAUCAAUAUUUUCCCUCCUCAAACAAAAUAUGGAAAGUGAAAUGGAAUCAAAGCAGAGUUUAAAGAGUACAUACUUUAAGCUGAUAAUAGAUCACUACAAUUGGUCAUUGGUAGAAAAAUAUAGGCAACGUCCUCAGUGAUCAGAUAAAACUAACAUCGAAAUCAUUAUGGAAGUACCUAAGGCAAGAGUGGAUGUAUUGUUUCCCUUUAGUGGCUUCAUCUAGAUCUGCAAAUUCAUACAACACAAGAAAAGCAGUUCUAAGUUGAUUGUUCAUUUAUAAACAGAAAACUGAAUCUAUUGCUUUAAGGCCUUAAUAAGAGUGCUGUUUUUAAUCUUACCGGUUUCCUGAAAGCGUCUUGCAACAUCUCCAAAGCAACUCAUAUGAUCAACUGGGCUUCCAGACUUCCCGUAGACUAUAACACCAUCAAAGAGCCCUCAUUAGCUACGCAAAUAAGCCAUCAUGUGAAAAAAGAAACAGCUUCUAGAUCACAAACAGAACAAAAGCAACAGACUUGUCAAUGUUUUCAUGGUGGACUUCUCAAGAAUCACGCUGCCUAGUCCAGCUGUUAAAUGAUAAACAGCCAAAAGUUUUAUAUAGAGUAAUGCAUAUAAAUAUGCCUGCUUCUAACAAAUUACACUUGCAACAAAACAACUCUCAUGGAAAAUAAGAAACCAAGAAUAUUGAUACAGUUGGAACCUUUUCAAAUUAAAAGUAAAGAGAUGAUCGGAAUAAGACUUUCAACCUACCUAGAGAAAUAGUGCUGAAAAUCAUGUUUUUCUAGAGAAUCCUUUUUUCUUCCAAUCCAGCUUAUCAAUCCCUAAAUCCAUAGAACACUCAAUAUUAAAAAGUAGUCAUUAAUCGUACCUCUGAAUAUUAUCUUGCCGCUAAUGAAUUACCUCUACUACUUCAUAUAAAGGUUGAUAUAUCAUUGGCUGGGGCACGCUCAUCUGUUCCAGUUCACUCUGCAAUUCUGUAUAACAUAAAGCCACAUUAGUAAAGUAAAAGUCAGUGAACAGAACCAUGAAUAAUGCAGAGAUGGUUUGAGUUUUAUAUACUGAAAAGAGUCUCUUCGUCCAAGUUAACGCUUCCUGCUUCACGAGCAAUGUCUUCCAUAUUGCUAUGUACAGAGGAAGUGUUUAGUCCAUGGACUUAACCACCAACAUCAGAAACUUGUUGCCAACUAAUGUUUCAUAUAUAAGUGCAAAUAUAUUAAACCUACACAAAAGGUUAUGAAGCUUACUGUGCUUCAUCAAAUAUUAUAAUCGCUCCUUUCAGAUCUACUUCAACUCCUGCUCGAAUGACAGGAUUAACUAUGUAUGAAUAAGGGAAAAAAACCAGUUCUGCAUUCUCCGCCAAUGACCAGGCAGCAUAAUAUGGACAGCCUACAAAAAGAUUAUCUGAGAUUAAGAAAUAGAAAAGUAAAACAAACUAAAACUAAAAAUGAAACCAAAUCUCACCUCUAACACUUUUCCCAACUUUGACAAACUCUUCAAUAUCGUGAACUUCAUUAAAACCUCUCUACUGAAGUGAAGGGUGAGAUGUGAUUUUACUAACGUCAUAUUAAAAAAUAAAAAAAUACCACACCAACAAUUAAUCAGAGGGACUAAAUCGUUACCACAGUGGAACUGGAUCUUAACUAACAGAAAUCUAGCAAUUUUUAGGAAGUUGAUGGGUCAGUGGAAUUGAUUCGUAAAAAAAUAAAAAGAGGAAGUCAAUGUCAUACCUGCUCAUCGAUCAGAAGGAGUUCUACGACGAUUAGUGGUUUCAGCCGCUCUUACUGCUAGGUUUCGAUCUUGAUAGGAUUUAGGAUUAGACGAAGCCAUUUAUAUUGGAGGAGGAUGAACGGAAGUUGGAAUGAAACCAACCAGAAGGUAUAAAAAGCAUCAUUGAUUAAUAGGGGGUUACAGAGAUGGAAGAUAGAGCGAUUACAGAGAAUGGAGAAGUUGAAGAUGAAUUGGAAUUGGAAUUG